GAUGAACGCUGGCGGCGUGCCUAAUACAUGCAAGUCGAGCGAACAGACGAGGAGCUUGCUCCUCUGACGUUAGCGGCGGACGGGUGAGUAACACGUGGAUAACCUACCUAUAAGACUGGGAUAACUUCGGGAAACCGGAGCUAAUACCGGAUAAUAUAUUGAACCGCAUGGUUCAAUAGUGAAAGACGGUUUUGCUGUCACUUAUAGAUGGAUCCGCGCCGCAUUAGCUAGUUGGUAAGGUAACGGCUUACCAAGGCAACGAUGCGUAGCCGACCUGGGAGGGGGAUGGGCCACAGGGGAAGUGAGCGACGGCCAAGAGCCCUAGGGGAGGCAACGGUGGGGAAUGUUCCGAAAUGGGGGAAAGCUUGCAGGAGGAACGCCGGGGGGGUGAAGAAGGGCUUCGGGCGGGAAAACUUUUUUAUUGGGGAAAAAAAAUUUUGUAAGUAACUAAGCAUGUUUUAAGGUAACCGAAAAAGAAGCCCCGGCUAACCACGUG
rnacentral:rRNA from 1 species